GGUAGUCCACGCCGUAAACGAUGUCGACUUGGAGGUCGUGCCCUUGAGGCGUGGCUUCCGGAGCUAACGCGUUAAGUCGACCGCCUGGGGAGUACGGCCGCAAGGUUAAAACUCAAAUGAAUUGACGGGGGCCCGCACAAGCGGUGGAGCAUGUGGUUUAAUUCGAUGCAACGCGAAGAACCUUACCUACUCUUGACAUCCAGAGAACUUAGCAGAGAUGCUUUGGUGCCUUCGGGAACUCUGAGACAGGUGCUGCAUGGCUGUCGUCAGCUCGUGUUGUGAAAUGUUGGGUUAAGUCCCGCAACGAGCGCAACCCUUAUCCUUUGUUGCCAGCGGUUAGGCCGGGAACUCAAAGGAGACUGCCAGUGAUAAACUGGAGGAAGGUGGGGAUGACGUCAAGUCAUCGUGGCCCUUACGAGUAGGGCUACACACGUACUACAAUGGCGCAUACAAAGAGAAGCGACCUCGCGAGAGCAAGCGGACCUCAUAAAGUGCGUCGUAGUCCGGAUUGGAGUCUGCAACUCGACUCCAUGAAGUCGGAAUCGCUAGUAAUCGUAGAUCAGAAUGCUACGGUGAAUACGUUCCCGGGCCUUGUACACACCGCCCGUCACACCAUGGGAGUGGGUUGCAAAAGAAGUAGGUAGCUUAACCUUCGGGAGGGCGCUUACCACUUUGUGAUUCAUGACUGGGGUGAAGUCGUAACAAGGUAACCGUAGGGGAACCUGC
rnacentral:rRNA from 1 species